ACGUUUUGAGGUCCUAGGAACCUGUCCUGACUACUCUUGCGAGAGUGUCAAUAUGUUUGUAUGUAUGUAUGUAUAUAUAUGUGUGGAUGUGUGUGUUUUUAUUAAACUUCUAGCAAACUUUUGAGCUCGGAGAGCUCAAAAACGUAACUCGUUAUGAGUGUGACUCCAACGCCAGUCAAAAUAUGACCUACGGGAGGCUGUCAGAGUAUGUUUUCAAUCGUAUGUCAAUAGCAAGAAACAUAAAAAUAAAUAAAUUUAAUAAAUAAUUGUAAAAAAAAGUUAUAAAAAAUAUGUGACAAUUUUAUACACCGAUAGACCGAUUUGUUUGUUAAUGAAUAUUUUUUAACUUUAAACGAAUCAACAACAAGAAUAAUAGCCUCCCGUAACUCCGAAAGUAACCACUACAAACGCUUCAGUCGAUUUAAUUUCCCCUACCAUGGCUUCACUCGGAGCGA